rnacentral:rRNA from 1 species
CAGUAGCCGCGGUAAUACGAAGGGGGCUAGCGUUGUUCGGAAUUACUGGGCGUAAAGCGCACGUAGGCGGAUAUUUAAGUCAGGGGCGAAAUCCCAGAGCUCAACUCUGGAACUGCCUUUGAUACUGGGUAUCUUGAGUAUGGAAGAGGUGAGUGGAAUUCCGAGUGUAGAGGUGAAAUUCGUAGAUAUUCGGAGGAACACCAGUGGCGAAGGCGGCUCACUGGUCCAUUACUGACGCUGAGGUGCGAAAGCGUGGGGAGCAAACAGGAUUAGAUACCCCUGUAGUCCCUGUCUCUUAUAC